GGUGGCAGAGCUCAGUGGUAGGGCAUGUGCUGACGUGCAUGAGGUCCUGAGUUUAAUCCCCAGUACCUCCA
rnacentral:tRNA from 1 species